rnacentral:rRNA from 1 species
CCUACGGGUGGCAGCAGUGAGGAAUAUUGGUCAAUGGGCGCGAGCCUGAACCAGCCAAGCAGCGUGAAGGAUGACUGCCCUACGGGUUGUAAACUUCUUUUAUAAAGGAAUAAAGUGAGGCACGUGUGCCUUUUUGUAUGUACUUUAUGAAUAAGGAUCGGCUAACUCCGUGCCAGCAGCCGCGGUAAUACGGAGGAUCCGAGCGUUAUCCGGAUUUAUUGGGUUUAAAGGGAGCGUAGAUGGGUUGUUAAGUCAGUUGGGAAAGUUUGCGGCUCAACCGUAAAAUUGCAAUUGAUACUGGCAGCCUUGAGUGCAGGUGAGGUAGGCGGAAUUCGUGGUGUAGCGGUGAAAUGCUUAGAUAUCACGAAGAACACCGAUUGCGAAGGCAGCUUACUGGACUGCCACUGACGUUGAUGCUCGAAAGUGUGGGUAUCAAACAGGAUUAGAUACCCGGGUAGUC